rnacentral:siRNA from 1 species
UACAAGGGAUUUAAAAAGGGUU